GAUGAACGCUAGCGGAAGGCAUAAUACAUGCAAGCCGAACGGAUGUAGCAAUACAUUAGUGGCGCACGGGUGCGUAACGCGUAUGCAACCUACCUUCAUCAGGGGGAUAACUACCCGAAAGGGUGGCUAACACCGCAUAAUACUAUUGAGUGGCAUCACUUGAUAUUUAAAUCUGAGGAGGAUGAAGAUGGGCAUGCGUCUGAUUAGCUAGUUGGUGUGGUAACGGCGCACCAAGGCGACGGUCAGUAGGGGGACUGAGAGGUUGGUCCCCCACACUGGCACUGAGAUGCGGGCCAGACUCCUACGGGAGGCAGCAGUAGGGAAUAUUGGUCAAUGGUGGGAACACUGAACCAGCCAUUCCGCGUGCAGGAAGAAGGGUCUCUGACUUGUAAACUGCUUUAGCAAGGGAAGAAAAAGCUCAUGCGUGAGAAAUUGACGGUACCUUGAGAAUAAGCACCGGCUAACUACGUGCCAGCAGCCGCCGUAAGAC
rnacentral:rRNA from 1 species